rfam:Bombyx mori DNA, contig: Bm_scaf42_contig23789, strain: p50T/Dazao, build 2, whole genome shotgun sequence.
UGGGCUCGGUCGCGAGCUGCCUCCCGUGCGGCUGCAGUGCUCGCGUGUAGCACCAUGGGAUUCAGCUCACGGCCGCUCCCC